rnacentral:rRNA from 1 species
AGAGUUUGAUCAUGGCUCAGGACGAACGCUGGCGGCGUGCUUAACACAUGCAAGUCGAACGGAAAGGCCCUCACCUUUUGGUGGGGGUGCUCGAGUGGCGAACGGGUGAGUAACACGUGGGUGAUCUGCCCUGUACUUCGGGAUAAGCUUGGGAAACUGGGUCUAAUACCGGAUAGGACCAUGGCUUAGUGUCUCAUGGUGGAAAGAUUAUUGUUUUGGUGCAGGAUGAGCUCGCGGCCUAUCAGCUUGUUGGUGGGGUAAUGGCCUACCAAGGCGUCGACGGGUAGCCGGCCUGAGAGGGUGGACGGCCACAUUGGGACUGAGAUACGGCCCAGACUCCUACGGGAGGCAGCAGUGGGGAAUAUUGCACAAUGGGCGCAAGCCUGAUGCAGCGACGCCGCGUGGGGGAUGACGGCCUUCGGGUUGUAAACUCCUUUCGUUAGGGACGAAGCCGCACCUUUUUUUGGGUGUGGUGACGGUACCUUUGUUAAGAAGCACCGGCUAACUACGUGCCAGCAGCCGCGGUAAUACGUAGGGUGCGAGCGUUGUCCGGAAUUACUGGGCGUAAAGAGCUCGUAGGUGGUUUGUUGCGUCGUCUGUGAAAUUCCGGGGCUUAACUUCGGGGUGGCAGGCGAUACGGGCAUAACUAGAGUGCUGUAGGGGAGACUGGAAUUCCUGGUGUAGCGGUGGAAUGCGCAGAUAUCAGGAGGAACACCGAUGGCGAAGGCAGGUCUCUGGGCAGUAACUGACGCUG